GCAAACAGGUUCACAUUCAUUUUUAAUGAAGGAACUACUGCACAUUGAUGCAAAUGGACACAAAAAUUAUCUAAGAAUGUCAGAGACGCAGUAUAAUUUUAUAUUAUCUGCAAUACAGGACGACAUAACGAAGCAAGAUACUGUGAUGCGAGCUGCAAUUUCUGCAACGGAAAAGCUGUCACUGAUCCUCCCUUUUCUCGCAACGGGAGAAUCGUUUCUAAGCUUAAUUUUUGGGUAAAAAAUUUCGCAGCCAGCAAUUAGUGGAAUAAUUCCCGAAGUUUGUGAUGCUAUUUACAAAAAACUGACGGCGUUAUAUUUGAAUUUCCAAGCAAUACGGCAGUGUGGGUAUCAAUUGCGGGGAUUGUAACUGCGAAUCACGAUAUCUGUUUGAUUUUUGUACUAAACGGCGUAUAAGGCAUUUGACCUCCCAUUGAGCGUCUUCUCGCAUGUGAGGAACUAUCUCCUCCAUUUUCGCAGAGACCAAAUUGCCCAACCAACUAUACGGUCUAUUGCGUCUUUCAGCGAUUAAAACUAUUUGAUUUAUACACAUAUACAUGUAUGAAUAAUAUACUAUAUUAACAGUUUCUUCAGCCACAAUUGGUUGGGUUGUUGUUGGAGAUAUAUUAUUUUCACACUCCCGACU